rnacentral:rRNA from 1 species
UACGUAGGUGGCAAGCGUUGUCCGGAUUUACUGGGCGUAAAGAGCGCGCAGGCGGUCGAUCAAGUCGCGUGUGAAAGCCCCCGGCUCAACUGGGGAGGGUCACGCGAUACUGAUCGACUCGAAGGCAGGAGAGGGUAGUGGAAUUCCCGGUGUAGUGGUGAAAUGCGUAGACUAUCGGGAGGAACACCAGUGGCGGAAGGCGACUACCUGGCCUGUUCUUGACGCUGAGGCGCGAAAGCUAGGGGAGCAAACGGG